GAAAGUCACAGCUCACAUCUAGAAAACCACCUACAAAUCAAGAAACACAUUAACAUGUGAGAAGAAAGUGGAGCCUGCCUUCCUGUAGAUUCAGAAAGGAGUCCAGGAAACAAAAGGCUGCCUUUUGUCUCACACCAAGUGUGCUGCAGAAGGAUUUUUCUCUUCAAGGUUUUGCCCGCUUCUCACAAACCGUCCGCCGGGAGGGGCCGCCCGCUUUCUAAAAGAACAGGCUCCUUGGAGACCGCACAGAGGCCCGGAGAGGUCUCCACUAGGCCCAGACCCUCACAGAGGCAGCCAAAAAGGAAUGGGGAGCCUGAUCUGAUAGAUCCAGAUGGAACGGCAUUUGACGAUCUGCGGGAGACUGACGCCCUUCAUCUAACAGAGAAGGAUAGAGAAGACUCAGGAAAGGGAAGCCAUGGGGGCAGGCAGUAGGAGCGAGGGAGCCUUCUAAACACUGAAACCAUAGCCCUGGCCCUCCUCCUGGAUGCCAGUAUCGGGAUACACACAAAUGCUGGGUUUUUUUUUUUUUUCCAGUGUUUUUGCAGCAUCCAGCGGCACAGACUUGAGCUCGAUGUUUGAAUGGCUACAGGGGGCCAGAUAGGAUUCUUAGUCUGUUAUCAGUGCCCCAGAGAGCAGGAUUUAAGGGUCUGCAAGAGGUCUUCUCCCGCAAACAGGUUAUUAGUAUUGCUUGAAUUAACCCAGCAAUGGGCUAAAUGCCAGCAGCGGGAGAGAGAUGUUAGGGCAUUCUGUUCCUCUGGGGACCCAGGUGAAGCAGCAGGAAAAUCCCUGCCCAGCUCUUACCAGAGGCACGGAAAGGGCAGGAGUGUUUACACUGGAGCACCCUGUAAAGCUACACAGCUCUCAGGUGCCUGUAAGCACUGGAUACCCCCAAUGUCUCGUUCUAUUGUUGGGACACCUCAGUAGCCUCCUCCACAAACAGACUGGAAGGGACAAAAACCAGUCUGGCUCAGGGCAAGUCAGAAAAAAAUUUCUCAGUGGAGGUUAGCACCCCCCAGACCCCCCCUUCCCCGAAUUCAACUCCACCCACUCCAAAAGCAGUUUGACCUCCAUCCCCAAACUUCACAAAUUUUGUGGCAAUUUCCAAGGGAAGGGUAAUGUUUCUGCAUCAAAUGUAAGUCUGGGAGGGCAAGGAGGGAGGAGGCUCGGCCUCAAGGAGCUGAGAAGGUGGGAGACAUGGACAAGAAGAGCGUGGUGGGGCUUUUGUGUAUGAGAGAACUGUCAGUGGUCUAGGACGUACUCAUGAGACUUUUGAGAGUCAUUAUAAGCUGACAGAGCACGGGAGGGGUGGUGGAACUAAAAUUGCAGGGGACCCUGGGGGUGACCCAGAGCAGCAAGCAAAUCUUCGAGCCCCAGCUGCAUCUGCAUCACCAGAGGGACAUGACAACUUGCUUGCUGGGCCCUCAGCACAUAUAUAUCUAUAUCACCUAUAUCUAUAACAUUAUAUUUACUUAUAUAUUGUAUAUUUUAUAUUAAAGUAAACAUAUUAUUUUGUUUUAUCAUA